rnacentral:lncRNA from 1 species
UGUAGAUUCUUUUCUUUUUAAAAAGCCCGUUCUGAGGCACUCCUCUACAUUAGUAGUGGACUGUUUUAUUUUGUUGACCAAUGAGCAAUUACACUGCAAGCACUCUCAGCUGAGAAGAGCUCACACUACACACAAUGAGUUCCAGUGUGUUUUACCCCGUGUCUCUUUCUGCCAAUCACUUUGUGCUCCGGAAACCAGUUUGGGCUUAUGAUGGCUGAGAAAGUUUUUGCAGGUAAAAUUCUGGACCUGCUUCAAUGACACAGGAAGAGAAUCAGGCUGAGUAUUAAAAUACAAAUUUGGCAGUGAUUCUAGGUAACUAUGUGGAAUGGAUGAGAAAACAGAGAAAAGAGAUCAAUAGGAAAUAUUAGAUGGAUGGUCUGAUUUUGACAUGACUAAGAGGACCAUAAAUUUCACAACACAAGAACCCCAUCCAACAACUGGAGGGACAGACAAUAGUUGGAAACAACCAUGCCCAGAAAUUUACCCUGUAUUCAAUUGUUUUAGAGAAUGGAAAAGGCCUUUUUAAGGUGUGGUACUAAGCCUGCGUCUCUUAAGGAUUAGGCCACAUGAACCACUUAAGGAAUGAUACAAAUGACACUCCCUGAUCCAGGAAUGCAUCCUUCACACAGAGGAAUGCUUAUGAGUGAUGUCAGCAAGAUGACAGAAUACAUCACCCACAGGAAGAUACUGCAUUCACCCACAGAGGAAAGUCUUUGUAAGAGCUUCAAGGUUUGGGUAGAUGGCUCUUGAGAAUCAUUUGGAGACUACAGACCCUCAAACAGGUAGCAGACUGUUGAUCAUGCUCCUGAGCACCAUCCCAGAAAUGAUCCUGUUCCCAAGGGGUGCAACUAUAGCCCAUUUGGCCUGGAGUCUACAACCAAAACCAUCUGCUGUGGGGGUCUAGGAAGAAUCCAGCACAUGGGUGCCUCAGUAGAGAGGCUUGCCUGCCAGGGCUGGUGCUGGCAGGGGACCUGAACAUCACCCAGUGCUCAACUCCAGUUUCCCAUUGCUCAGCUUCUAGCUUAGUGCUGCUCACACAAGGACCCAGAAGGAGUCUUGCCCAUAUCUCACAGCCUGACAGUCAGGAACCUAUAAGAGCCUCCAAGACAGGCUUGCUGGCCUCUGCCCCACAGCAGGUCUGGAGGAGGCCUGGUCUCAGCUCUGGCCGCUUUUGCUACAGUUGAGGAAUGAUCUUCCCUGUGCAGGGAACAGCAGGGAGACAAGUGCUCACUUGAGC